AGUGAACGCUGGCGGUAGGCCUAACACAUGCAAGUCGAACGGCAGCACAGUAAGAGCUUGCUCUUACGGGUGGCGAGUGGCGGACGGGUGAGGAAUACAUCGGAAUCUACUUUUUCGUGGGGGAUAACGUAGGGAAACUUACGCUAAUACCGCAUACGACCUACGGGUGAAAGCAGGGGAUCUUCGGACCUUGCGCGAUCGAAUGAGCCGAUGUCGGAUUAGCUAGUUGGCGGGGUAAAGGCCCACCAAGGCGACGAUCCGUAGCUGGUCUGAGAGGAUGAUCAGCCACACUGGAACUGAGACACGGUCCAGACUCCUACGGGAGGCAGCAGUGGGGAAUAUUGAACAAUGGGCGCAAGCCUGAUCCAGCCAUACCGCGUGGGUGAAGAAGGCCUUCGGGUUGUAAAGCCCUUUUGUUGGGAAAGAAAAGCAGCAGGUUAAUACCCCGCUGUUCUGACGGUACCCAAAGAAUAAGCACCGGCUAACUUCGUG
rnacentral:rRNA from 1 species